GGUUGGAAAAGCAUUGAAAUGUCACUGACUUUGACUGUCAGAUGUGUGGGGUCAGGCAGGCAUGUGUUUCUCGGAUGCUCAUUGUAGCUCUUGCUUAUCCAUUUUUAUUAACUGAUCCAGUGACUCACAAGGAAGUUGGCAUUAUUGUGUGUGGAACAGCAGCAGAGCUUACUAACAUUCUCAGCUACAAAACAAAAAAUAACGAACCAGAGACUUCAGCUCAGUUCUUGUGAUUGGAGUUGUGUUUCCUCCAGAGUGACGAGCAUGGUAUAAGACGCCUCGCCCUGCACCCCAUCACGGCUCUCCCCAGACAGCCCUGACAGAGGAUCUGUGGAAUGGGGAUAAUAAUAGGACCUAUCUGACAGGGUGGUUGGGAUCAUUGACUGAAAUAACACAUGAAAGAACUUAGCACAGUGCCUAGCAGGCAGACAGGGAGGAGUCUCAUUUUGCAUCAAGAGCUUUCCAUGGGUCAUGUUAUUUCACCCUGCACGAUGCUGUGUGGUCUCAUCACCACUGAACACACAAGACCCUGAGACUCUGAGAGGUAGACACUGCACUCUACAGCUGCGAUUCACACCUGGAUCUGCUGGCUCAAGGUCUGCACUCUUUCCACUGCACCACAGUAACCCACAUGAAUCAGCAAUGAAAAGGCAAGACGGAGUAAGCUUCAAGCACUGAUGACCAUCUGUUUUAGCCCGAGUUGCCUAUGAAACAGAGCGUUAUGCAGAAGCUGAAGUACUAAUGCCUUGUUAGAGGAUGCAAGCCCAGGGAAGCAAGAGUGAGAGAGAGAAACCCAAAGGAAGGCAGUUUAAGGCUUCACAAAGUCAUUAACAAGCCAGACCACUUGCCACUCUCCAUGACACUCUCUAAGAUCCGACCUUCAUCCUAAAGGCUGAAGAUGGCUGCUAGAGCCCCAGCUACAUCCACAUUCCAGUCAGCGCAAAGGAGGAAACAGCAAAAAAGGCAAACACCUUCCCUUAGAAAGACUGCCUGCAAAGCUGAGCUGUGUCUGGGCUGAUUCAU
rnacentral:lncRNA from 1 species